UUGAAAGGGAAACGAUUGAAGUCAGUCGUACCGACGAGAAAUCAGCUUUUCGAAUGUGCAUUUGUGGGCGUAUAAGAGCUUCACGGCCUUGUUGUUUGCAAUAUGUAUAUUUCUUUGGUGUACUUUUUCGUAUGGUAGGUCAAUGUCGGUUUUGAUUGCCAUAAAAUGACCGGAGGAAUGUAGCUUCGGCCUCGGUUGAAGUGUUAUAGCCUUUGGUAAAUGUGGUGAUUAGGACCGAGGAUUGCAACGAAUACCUUUUAGGCUAUCCGUCUGACCUCUGAAAGUUACUUAGGUGCCGAAAGCUUGCUUACGGUCAUUUAAGUUGACGGUCAAUAGGUUAGAACGUGAUUACAUUCGUUAAGGAUGUUGACGUA
rnacentral:rRNA from 1 species